rnacentral:rRNA from 1 species
AUUGNCUGCCCAGUBACUAUAGUUAAACGGCCGCGGUAUCCUGACCGUGCAAAGGUAGCAUAAUCAUUUGUUCCUUAAUUAGGGACUAGUAUGAAUGGCUAAACGAGGGCUCAACUGUCUCUUAUUUUUGAUCAGUGAAAUUGACCUUCCAGUGAAGAGGCUGGAAUCCAAUAAUAAGACGAGAAGACCCUAUGGAGCUUAAAUUAACAAGCUUAAUUACUUAUCACACAUCCCUAAUGGCAUAAKNNNNNNNAAUAUAAGCUUAAAAUUUUGGUUGGGGUGACCUCGGAGAAUAVAAAAUCCUCCGAACGAUAUCUAACUUAGACCUACAAGUCAAAGUAGACUACUAUCUAAUUGACCCAAAAAUUGAUCAACGGACCAAGUUACCCUAGGGAUAACAGCGCAAUCCUAUUUAAGAGUUCAUAUCGACAAUAGGGUUUACGACCUCGAUGUUGGAUCAGGACAUCCCAAUGGUGCAGAAG